UACAGAGGGUGCUAGCGUUGUUCGGAAUCAUUGGGCGUAAAGAGCUCGUAGGCGGUUUGGCAAGUCGGGUGUGAAAACUCCGGGCUCAACUCGGAGACGCCACUCGAUACUGCUAUGACUCGAGUCCGGUAGGGGAGUGCGGAAUUCCUGGUGUAGCGGUGAAAUGCGCAGAUAUCAGGAGGAACACCGGUGGCGAAGGCGGCACUCUGGGCCGGAACUGACGCUGAGGAGCGAAAGCGUGGGGAGCGAACAGG
rnacentral:rRNA from 1 species